rnacentral:other from 1 species
GCAGCGCAGGCCUGAACGGCUUAAUUCUCUCUAGAAUUAAUUGGCUUGCUGCUUGCUAUGUUGUGUUUGCAUACUCGGUUUUCGAGUUAGGUAGAUUUCUACCAAAUAUUUUGUCGCUGUUCUCUCAACGACAAGAUCAACUUCCUGUAUUUUUGACCUGUCUGUCAAAUGAUUUUGCACCGCCUUUUGGCGGUGUUUUUUUAU